UGCCGGAACGGCGCGGCUUCGUCGCGAGCUGGCAGUUCGCGAGCCAGGGCGUCAGCGGCCUGUUAGGGGCAGGCUUUGGCGC
rnacentral:tRNA from 1 species